rnacentral:rRNA from 1 species
GCAAGUCGAACGGCAGCGCGGGAGCAAUCCUGGCGGCGAGUGGCGAACGGGUGAGUAAUACAUCGGAACGUGCCCAAUCGUGGGGGAUAACGCAGCGAAAGCUGUGCUAAUACCGCAUACGAUCUACGGAUGAAAGCAGGGGAUCGCAAGACCUUGCGCGAAUGGAGCGGCCGAUGGCAGAUUAGGUAGUUGGUGAGGUAAAGGCUCACCAAGCCUUCGAUCUGUAGCUGGUCUGAGAGGACGACCAGCCACACUGGGACUGAGACACGGCCCAGACUCCUACGGGAGGCAGCAGUGGGGAAUUUUGGACAAUGGGCGAAAGCCUGAUCCAGCCAUGCCGCGUGCAGGAUGAAGGCCUUCGGGUUGUAAACUGCUUUUGUACGGAACGAAACGGCCUUUUCUAAUAAAGAGGGCUAAUGACGGUACCGUAAGAAUAAGCACCGGCUAACUACGUGCCAGCAGCCGCGGUAAUACGUAGGGUGCAAGCGUUAAUCGGAAUUACUGGGCGUAAAGCGUGCGCAGGCGGUUAUGUAAGACAGUUGUGAAAUCCCCGGGCUCAACCUGGGAACUGCAUCUGUGACUGCAUAGCUAGAGUACGGUAGAGGGGGAUGGAAUUCCGCGUGUAGCAGUGAAAUGCGUAGAUAUGCGGAGGAACACCGAUGGCGAAGGCAAUCCCC